GACGUAGGGCGCGAGCGUUGUCCGGAUUUAUUGGGCGUAAAGAGCUCGUAGGCGGCUCGUUGCGUCAACCGUGAAAACCCGGGGCUUAACUUCGGGCUUGCGGUUGAUACGGGCGGGCUGGAGUUCGGUAGGGGAGAUCGGAAUUCCUGGUGUAGCGGUGAAAUGCGCAGAUAUCAGGAGGAACACCGGUGGCGAAGGCGGAUCUCUGGGCCUUGCCUGACGCUGAGGCGCGAAAGCUAGGGGAGCGAACAGG
rnacentral:rRNA from 1 species